rnacentral:rRNA from 1 species
GACGAACGCUGGCGGCGUGCUUAACACAUGCAAGUCGAACGCUGAAGCUCAGCUUUUGUUGGGUGGAUGAGUGGCGAACGGGUGAGUAACACGUGAGUAACCUGCCCCCUUCUUUGGGAUAACGCCCGGAAACGGGUGCUAAUACUGGAUAUUCACUGGUCUUCGCAUGGGGGUUGGUGGAAAGGGUUUUUCUGGUGGGGAUGGGCUCGCGGCCUAUCAGCUUGUUGGUGGGGUGAUGGCCUGCCAAGGCUUUGACGGGUAGCCGGCCUGAGAGGGUGACCGGUCACAUUGGGACUGAGAUACGGCCCAGACUCCUACGGGAGGCAGCAGUGGGGAAUAUUGCACAAUGGGCGAAAGCCUGAUGCAGCGACGCCGCGUGAGGGAUGGAGGCCUUCGGGUUGUGAAACUCCUUCGCUCAUGGUCAAGCCGCAACAAUGGUUGUGGUGAGGGUAGUGGGUAAAGAAGCGCCGGCUAACUACGUGC